CCCCAUAGAAGAUGGGGUUGAUGGAGCUGGGGUGUACGCAUCAAGGCUUCGGCCGAGGUGUUUAGCCCGUGGCCCCCAACCGCCCGAGGUGUCGGGCUG
rnacentral:rRNA from 1 species